GACGAACGCUGGCGGCGUGCUUAACACAUGCAAGUCGAACGGAAAGGCCCUGCUUUUGUGGGGUGCUCGAGUGGCGAACGGGUGAGUAACACGUGAGUAACCUGCCCUUGACUUUGGGAUAACUUCAGGAAACUGGGGCUAAUACCGGAUAGGAGCUCCUGCUGCAUGGUGGGGGUUGGAAAGUUUCGGCGGUUGGGGAUGGACUCGCGGCUUAUCAGCUUGUUGGUGGGGUAGUGGCUUACCAAGGCUUUGACGGGUAGCCGGCCUGAGAGGGUGACCGGCCACAUUGGGACUGAGAUACGGCCCAGACUCCUACGGGAGGCAGCAGUGGGGAAUAUUGCACAAUGGGCGGAAGCCUGAGGCAGCAACGCCGCGUGCGGGAUGACGGCCUUCGGGUUGUAAACCGCCUUCGCCUGUGACGAAGCGUGAGUGACGGUAAUGGGGAAAGAAGCACCGGCUAACUACGU
rnacentral:rRNA from 1 species